rnacentral:rRNA from 1 species
GUGGGGAAUCUUGCGCAAUGGGCGAAAGCCUGACGCAGCCAUGCCGCGUGAAUGAUGAAGGUCUUAGGAUUGUAAAAUUCUUUCACCGGGGACGAUAAUGACGGUACCCGGAGAAGAAGCUCCGGCUAACUUCGUGCCAGCAGCCGCGGUAAUACGAAGGGGGCUAGCGUUGCUCGGAAUUACUGGGCGUAAAGGGCGCGUAGGCGGACAGCUUAGUCAGAGGUGAAAGCCCAGGGCUCAACCUUGGAAUUGCCUUUGAUACUGACUGUCUUGAGUUUGGGAGAGGUGAGUGGAACUCCGCGUGUAGAGGUGAAAUUCGUAGAUAUUCGGAAGAACACCAGUGGCGAAGGCGACUCACUGGCCCAAUACUGACGCUGAGGCGCGAAAGCGUGGGGAGCAAACAGGAUUAGAAACCCGGGUAGUCC